CCUACGGGUGGCAGCAGUGAGGAAUAUUGGUCAAUGGGCGCAAGCCUGAACCAGCCAAGUCGCGUGAAUGAUGAAGGCCCUACGGGUUGUAAACUUCUUUUGUCAGGGAGCAAUUGGGUCCACGCGUGAGCUUAGCGAGAGUACCUGCAGAAAAAGCAUCGGCUAACUCCGUGCCAGCAGCCGCUGUAAUACGGAGGAUGCGAGCGUUAUCCGGAUUUAUUGGGUUUAAAGGGUGCGUAGGCGGAAUAUCAAGUCAGCGGUAAAAAUUCGGGGCUAAACCGGGUCGUGCCGGUGAAACUGAUGUGCUUGAGUGGGCGAGAAGUAUGCGGAAGGCGUGGUGUAGCGGUGAAAUGCAUAGA
rnacentral:rRNA from 1 species